AUGGUAGGAUAGAGGCCUACCAUGGUGGUAACGGGUAACGGGGUGUUAGGGCACGACACCGGAGAGGGAGCCUGAGAAACGGCUACCACAUCCAAGGAAGGCAGCAGGCGCGCAAAUUACCCAAUCCCGACACGGGGAGGUAGUGACAAUAAAUAACAAUACAGGGUUCUUUGAAUCUUGUAAUUGGAAUGAGUACAAUUUAAAUCUCUUAACGAGGAACAAUUGGAGGGCAAGUCUGGUGCCAGCAGCCGCGGUAAUUCCAGCUCCAAUAGCGUAUAUUAAAGUUGUUGCAGUUAAAAAGCUCGUAGUUGAAUUUCGGGAUCAAUACGUCGGUCGUGCUUUCGGGUACGUACUGGCGUCAUUGGUUUCUCCUUUCUGACGAACCAUGAUGUCAUUAAUUUGGUGUUAUGGGGAGUUAGGACUGUUACUUUGAAAAAAUUAGAGUGUUUAAAGCAGGCAUUAGCUUGAAUACAUUAGCAUGGAAUAAUGAAAUAGGACGUUCGAUCCUAUUUUGUUGGUUUCUAGGAUCAACGUAAUGAUUAAUAGGGAUAGUUGGGGGCAUUAGUAUUCAAUUGUCAGAGGUGAAAUUCUUGGAUUUAUUGAAGACUAACUACUGCGAAAGCAUUUGCCAAGGAUGUUUUCAUUAAUCAAGAACGAAAGUUAGGGGAUCGAAGACGAUCAGAUACCGUCGUAGUCUUAACCAUAAACUAUGCCGACUAGGGAUCGGAUGAUGUUAAUUUUUUAAUGACUCAUUCGGCGCCUUACGGGAAACCAAAG
rnacentral:rRNA from 1 species